rnacentral:rRNA from 1 species
AGAGUUUGAUCCUGGCUCAGGAUGAACGCUAGCUACAGGCUUAACACAUGCAAGUCGAGGGGCAGCAUGGUCUUAGCUUGCUAAGGCCGAUGGCGACCGGCGCACGGGUGAGUAACACGUAUCCAACCUGCCGUCUACUCUUGGACAGCCUUCUGAAAGGAAGAUUAAUACAAGAUGGCAUCAUGAGUCCGCAUGUUCACAUGAUUAAAGGCAUUCCGGUAGACGAUGGGGAUGCGUUCCAUUAGAUAGUAGGCGGGGUAACGGCCCACCUAGUCUUCGAUGGAUAGGGGUUCUGAGAGGAAGGUCCCCCACAUUGGAACUGAGACACGGUCCAAACUCCUACGGGAGGCAGCAGUGAGGAAUAUUGGUCAAUGGGCGAGAGCCUGGACCAGCCAAGUAGCGUGAAGGAUGACUGCCCUAUGGGUUGUAAACUUCUUUUAUAAAGGAAUAAAGUCGGGUAUGCAUACCCGUUUGCAUGUACUUUAUGAAUAAGGAUCGGCUAACUCCGUGCCAGCAGCCGCGGUAAUACGGAGGAUCCGAGCGUUAUCCGGAUUUAUUGGGUUUAAAGGGAGCGUAGAUGGAUGUUUAAGUCAGUUGUGAAAGUUUGCGGCUCAACCGUAAAAUUGCAGUUGAUACUGGAUAUCUUGAGUGCAGUUGAGGCAGGCGGAAUUCGUGGUGUAGCGGUGAAAUGCUUAGAUAUCACGAAGAACUCCGAUUGCGAAGGCAGCCUGCUAAGCUGCAACUGACAUUGAGGCUCGAAAGUGUGGGUAUCAAACAGGAUUAGAUACCCUGGUAGUCCACACGGUAAACGAUGAAUACUCGCUGUUUGCGAUAUACAGCAAGCGGCCAAGCGAAAGCGUUAAGUAUUCCACCUGGGGAGUACGCCGGCAACGGUGAAACUCAAAUGAAUUGACGGGGGCCCGCACAAGCGGAAGAACAUGUGGUUUAAUUCGAUGAUACGCGAGGAACCUUACCCGGGCUUAAAUUGCAGAUGAAUUACGGUGAAAGCCGUAAGCCGCAAGGCAUCUGUGAAGGUGCUGCAUGGUUGUCGUCAGCUCGUGCCGUGAGGUGUCGGCUUAAGUGCCAUAACGAGCGCAACCCUUGUUGUCAGUUACUAACAGGUUCUGCUGAGGACUCUGACAAGACUGCCAUCGUAAGAUGUGAGGAAGGUGGGGAUGACGUCAAAUCAGCACGGCCCUUACGUCCGGGGCUACACACGUGUUACAAUGGGGGGUACAGAGGGCCGCUACCACGCGAGUGGAUGCCAAUCCCCAAAACCUCUCUCAGUUCGGACUGGAGUCUGCAACCCGACUCCACGAAGCUGGAUUCGCUAGUAAUCGCGCAUCAGCCACGGCGCGGUGAAUACGUUCCCGGGCCUUGUACACACCGCCCGUCAAGCCAUGGGAGCCGGGGGUACCUGAAGUGCGUAACCGCGAGGAGCGCCCUAGGGUAAAACUGGUGACUGGGGCUAAGUCGUAACAAGGUA